rnacentral:rRNA from 1 species
CUGCAGCCCGAGUGGUGAUCGAUUUGAUUGAGCCUAAAGCGUCCGUAGCCGGACUAGUAAACCCUUGGGUAAAUUGGGCAGCUUAACUGUCCAAAUUCCGAGGGGACUGCUAGUCUUGGGACCGGGAGAGGUCAGAGGUACUCAAGGGGUAGGGGCUAAAUCCUGUAAUCCUUUGGGGACCACCAGUGGCGAAGGCGUCUGACUAGAACGGAUCCGACGGUAAGGGACGAAACCCUGGGGCGCGAACCGGAUUAGAGACCCGCGUAGUCC